AAAGUUUCUACUUAUGGUUGAAAGAUGAAACAGGAAGUCGGGCAGAUUUAAAAAAAAAUCAGUAUUUUACAAAACAAAUCCAUACAUCCGUAUUCUGAACGCAUUUCAGUACAAAAUAUGGAAAAUCCGUACUACUUGG